UGCCCCUGACUAAAUAGUCAAGUAUUUCAUGUUUUAAAAAUUCGUGUGGCACACCGGUUGAAAAUCGUUGCUAUAUAGUGGGUUUAGGCUUUGCCUUGAGGGCAGUAGAGAGCAAUUAAAGUACUGAAGCCAGGCAGUGAUCAGAAUUACAUUUCAGAAAGAUAACUAACUGGCUGUGGUAGAGUAGAUUGGAAAAGGACAAGACUAGAAUCUGUAACAGGAGGUGGCUGCAGCAAGUUAUGGGUAAAAUGCUGGUGGCCUGAAUUAAGGCAUUAGUAGUAAGGCUAGAAUGUGGUUAAAAGGUCCCUUACAAUUUUUAAGUGCCCACCCCGCAUUUGCGAAUCAUCGUCUAAAAAGCUCCUUAGUUUUUUUCCAGGCUAGAUGAUGUUUGUUCCUUCAGAUUUUUGGGGGGAUUAAUUUAGCAACUCAUCCUAGCACUUUCUUAUGAACCUUUUCUUGUUUCUCACCAGCUUUCAUCCUUCUGUUAUGGAGGAAUCCAGAGCUAGAUGCAGUGCUCUGAGAGCAUGAGCUCUAGUAUUUGCUAAGGAGAUAUGAUAGAAACUAUUUA